AUACGUAGGGGGCAAGCGUUGUCCGGAAUUACUGGGCGUAAAGAGCACGCAGGCGGUUUGUUAAGUUAGAUGUGAAAGUUCGGGGCUCAACCCCGAAAGUGCAUUUAAAACUGGCAGACUUGAGUCUCGGAGAGGUAAGCGGAAUUCCUAGUGUAGCGGUGAAAUGCGUAGAGAUUAGGAAGAACACCGGUGGCGAAGGCGGCUUACUGGACGAGUACUGACGCUCAGGUGCGAAAGCGUGGGGAGC
rnacentral:rRNA from 1 species